rnacentral:rRNA from 1 species
GGCGAACGCUGGCGGCGUGCUUAACACAUGCCAGUCGAACGGAAAGGCCCUGCUUUUGUGGGGUGCUCGAGUGGCGAACGGGUGAGUAACACGUGAGUAACCUGCCCUUGACUUUGGGAUAACUUCAGGAAACUGGGGCUAAUACCGGAUAGGAGCUCCUGCUGCAUGGUGGGGGUUGGAAAGUUUCGGCGGUUGGGGAUGGACUCGCGGCUUAUCAGCUUGUUGGUGGGGUAGUGGCUUACCAAGGCUUUGGCGGGUAGCCGGCCUGAGAGGGUGACCGGCCACAUUGGGACUGAGAUACGGCCCAGACUCCUACGGGAGGCAGCAGUGGGGAAUAUUGCACAAUGGGCGGAAGCCUGAUGCAGCAACGCCGCGUGCGGGAUGACGGCCUUCGGGUUGUAAACCGCUUUCGCCUGUGACGAAGCGUGAGUGACGGUAAUGGGUAAAGAAGCACCGGCUAACUACGUG